AGUGGGAUAACUGGAUAAAAUGGUGGUUCCAAUCCAAGUUUUCUAAGGAAUCUACAUACUGCUUUCCAGAUUGGUUGCACCAAUUUGCAAUCCCACCAGCAAU
rnacentral:pre_miRNA from 1 species